rnacentral:lncRNA from 11 species
UUCCAGCAUUUUUCAAGGAUUUUCCUCUUCAUUGACAGGUUGUAAACUGCAAAACAAAGUCACAGGAAACCCAAGAAACACAAUGGAUAUACCAGCAUGCUAUACAACAGAAUACUGGAUGCAAGGGUAUUGAAUCACCAUGCUAUUUGCUGACUGUAAGAAUAAUACGUAUGCGCAAUCUCCACCAAGAAGAUUUUUGU